rnacentral:lncRNA from 1 species
GAAGAGGGAGAACCAAAAUGGAGGCUGACGUGGUGUUAUCAAAGAGACUCUUGUGCUGCGUGACCCCUGACCGUAACCAAGUGUCCUUCUCUCUGAGACGUUCCCUCGGAGCUUGUUCUGACAGCCCUCACCUCCAGUGACGUCCACGAACUUUUCCACACGAGGGGUUCUCUGCUUCCCUCCAUCUGAGCUGCGCAAUUCCACCAGGCCUUUUGCUCCUCUUCAGUCAGGUGCUUUGGAGGUGAGCAGAACCACACCCAACUAGAACAUCUCUUAAGCAUCUACUGAGUGUCAGGACCCGGGUAAGAUGGAACCCCACAGAUAACCCCCUCUCGACGAUUUUUUGCUCAAAGACCCCAUAACUUGAGAAUCAUUGUCGUAACUUCAGACUGGUUAAAACAUCUUUCUAAUUGCUUGUGGUUGAGCUCUAUGAAGAAACCAGUCCUCUGCUCUAACAUUUAGAUG